rnacentral:rRNA from 1 species
GACGAACGCUGGCGGCGUGCUUAACACAUGCAAGUCGAACGAUGAUGCUGGAGCUUGCUCCAGUUGAUUAGUGGCGAACGGGUGAGUAACACGUGAGCAAUCUGCCCUUGACUCUGGGAUAACUGCGGGAAACUGUAGCUAAUACCGGAUACUUUCACCGGAAGGCAUCUUCUGGUGAGGAAAGAAUUUCGGUCAGGGAUGAGCUCGCGGCCUAUCAGCGUGUUGGUGAGGUAACGGCUCACCAAGGCGACGACGGGUAGCUGGCCUGAGAGGGUGACCGGCCACACUGGGACUGAGACACGGCCCAGACUCCUACGGGAGGCAGCAGUGGGGAAUAUUGCACAAUGGGCGCAAGCCUGAUGCAGCAACGCCGCGUGAGGGAUGAAGGCCUUCGGGUUGUAAACCUCUUUUAGCAGGGAAGAAGCGAAAGUGACGGUACCUGCAGAAAAAGCACCGGCUAACUACGUGCCAGCCGCCGCCGUAA